rnacentral:rRNA from 1 species
AUUGAACGCCGGCGGCAUGCUUUACACAUGCAAGUCGAACGGCAGCACGGACUUCGGUCUGGUGGCGAGUGGCGAACGGGUGAGUAAUACAUCGGAACGUACCCAGUAAUGGGGGAUAACUAUCCGAAAGGAUAGCUAAUACCGCAUACGCCCUACGGGGGAAAGAGGGGGAUCGCAAGACCUCUUGUUAUUGGAGCGGCCGAUGGCUGAUUAGCUAGUUGGUGAGGUAAAGGCUCACCAAGGCGACGAUCAGUAGCGGGUCUUAGAGGACGAUCCGCCACACUGGAACUGAGACACGGUCCAGACUCCUACGGGAGGCAGCAGUGGGGAAUCUUGGACAAUGGGCGCAAGCCUGAUCAGCAAUGCCGCGUGCGUGAAGAAGGCCUUCGGGUUGUAAAGCGCUUUUGUCAGGGAGCAAAUCCUUGUGGCUAAUACCCACCGGGGAUGAGAGUACCUGAAGAAUAAGGACCGGCUAACUACGUGCCAGCCGCCGCGGUAAAAC